rnacentral:tRNA from 1 species
GGCUUGAUAGCUCAGUUGGUAGAGCACUGCACCAAUAUCACAGAGGUCAUGGGUUCAAAUCCCGUUCAGGCUU